AACCCUCAAAGCUGGGGCUUGUCACUGAUGCAAUGGUUGAGAGGUACUUCUCUAGGAUUGAAGACGAAGAGUGGGAAGACCUAAAGCUCCCUGCAAGACUCAACUUGCCUGCUUCAGCCACUUCAAAGCUCUAGUUACCAUGAGUUUGCAACUUACUCAGAGGGAAGGAAAUAUCACAUCAUCCAUCCACAGAUACCGCUUAAGCUGUGAUAAAGGUCGGAAUCAAGCAUAUACUUCCCAACUUUGAGUUCCAAUGAAAGGGAACAAACCUUCAGCAGUGAAGGAAAUGUGAAUCUAUCAGCAACAUUUCUCGACCAUUGAAGCAUCUCAAAGUAACUUUGGAGUGCCCUUCUCGGCCUGUUGGAAUUCACAAGGCCUCUCAACAUGGUGUUCCAAGUAAGUAUAUCCAACUCUUGAGUGUGUGAAAAAACUGAAUAACCAUAGGCAAGACCAGGCGAGCCCAUUGAGAGGACAUGAGCAAUGAGCUCGUUAAGUGAAUGGCUUAUGGUGGAUGAAGCCAGUAACUACCAUUUGUGCAUGAAAUUGCUGAAAUUUUGUUGAUUGUGUCCAUUUUGUUGCUUCUU